AUUGAACGCUGGCGGCAUGCUUUACACAUGCAAGUCGAACGGUAACAGGCCGCAAGGUGCUGACGAGUGGCGAACGGGUGAGUAAUGCAUCGGAACGUGCCCAGUCGUGGGGGAUAACGCAGCGAAAGCUGCGCUAAUACCGCAUACGAUCUAUGGAUGAAAGCGGGGGACCGAAAGGCCUCGCGCGAUUGGAGCGGCCGAUGUCAGAUUAGGUAGUUGGUGGGGUAAAGGCUCACCAAGCCAACGAUCUGUAGCUGGUCUGAGAGGACGACCAGCCACACUGGGACUGAGACACGGCCCAGACUCCUACGGGAGGCAGCAGUGGGGAAUUUUGGACAAUGGGCGCAAGCCUGAUCCAGCAAUGCCGCGUGCAGGAAGAAGGCCUUCGGGUUGUAAACUGCUUUUGUACGGAACGAAAAGGCUCUGGUUAAUACCUGGGGCUCAUGACGGUACCGUAAGAAUAAGCACCGGCUAACUACGUGCCAGCAGCCGCGGUAAAAC
rnacentral:rRNA from 1 species